CCUACGUGGGGCUGCAGUGGGGAAUAUUGGGCAAUGGGCGCAAGCCUGACCCAGCAACGCCGCGUGAAGGAAGAAGGCUUUAGGGUUGUAAACUUCUUUUCUCAGGGACGAAGCAAGUGACGGUACCUGAGGAAUACGCCACGGCUAAUUACGUGCCAGCAGCAGCGGUAAUACGUAGGUGGCAAGCGUUAUCCGGAUUUACUGGGUGUAAAGGGCGUGUAGGCGGGAAAGCAAGUCAGAUGUGAAAACCAUGGGCUCAACCUGUGGCCUGCAUUUGACACUGUUUUGCUUGAGUACUGGAGAGGCAGACGGAAUUCGUAGUGUAGCGGUGAAAUGCUUAGAUAUUAGGAGGAACCCCAGUGGCGAAGGCGGUCUGCUGGACAGCAACUGACGCUGAGGCGCGAAAGCGUGGGGAGCAAACAGGAGUAGAUACCCGAGUAGUC
rnacentral:rRNA from 1 species